UACAGAGGUCCCAAGCGUUGUUCGGAUUCACUGGGCGUAAAGGGUGCGUAGGUGGUGAGGUAAGUCGGAUGUGAAAGCUCUGAGCUCAACUCAGAAAAGGCAUUGGAAACUACCUUGCUAGAGGAUUGGAGGGGGGACUGGAAUUCUCGGUGUAGCAGUGAAAUGCGUAGAGAUCGAGAGGAACACCAGUGGCGAAGGCGAGUCCCUGGACAAAUCCUGACGCUGAGGCACGAAAGCUAGGGGAGCAAACAGG
rnacentral:rRNA from 1 species